CCCGCCGGCGACCGGCGCACGGGUGAGUAACACGUAUGCAACCUGGCCGCCACAGGGGGAUAACCCGCGGAAACGCGGCCUAAUACCCCGUGACGCCACCGGAGGGCAUCCUCCGGUGGCCAAAGGAGCGAUCCGGUGGCGGAUGGGCAUGCGGCGCAUUAGCUAGACGGCGGGGUGACGGCCCACCGUGGCGACGAUGCGUAGGGGUUCUGAGAGGAAGGCCCCCCCACACUGGGACUGAGACACGGCCCAGACUCCUACGGAAGGCAGCAG
rnacentral:rRNA from 1 species